ensembl:lncRNA
UGGCGAAGAAGUGGGAUGAGUGGGAGCCUGUCUGAUGCAAAAAUGAACACAUUUAUAGCUGACAAGUUUGCUAAAAGGCUUCCAUCAAAGUGAGUGAUUUCCUCAUAAUCUUUCCUCUCUCUUCACAUGCCAGAAAAUCUAGAGCUCCUGCUGUUCUACUCUUCUCUUUCCAAUGACUGCUGACCCUCAAGGCUCCCCACUGAUGGCGCAAGGUACUGGAGGGGUAACCGAUGGAGCAAAUGCAACAAAUUUGGCAGUUAACCCAGCACCAACUGCUGCCAUGUUUGAACGGUUGCCACAGUGACCAGGAGGCCCACACGGUGAGGUUUGGGCUUUCCGUUUUUCACACCCGUGGCACCAAGGGAGGAAAAGCAGAUUGGGAUAGGAGGUGUUGGUUACAGUGGAACCGGAGACCUAGAGAACACAACACAAUAAAACAUGAUGGGGAGAGGUGUUUCCAACUCUUAAAAGGAGGAUCCAAGAUUGGAUAGCCUGUCCAUCAUUUCAUCCAGCAUGGUAUCCUAUCUCUACUCCCUGUGCUGUGAACCUUAUCCAGAGUACUGGGAUUAUUUCAACUCAUCCAAAUUGUUUAGUAUCGCCAUGAAAUAACACAUAGGGAAAGGGGUGUCUUGAAAUUGUAUGUAUGAAGCUGAAAAAGCAAGGCUUAGUUUGUGAUAUGCAGAAGACAUGGUGAAUCUUUUGGCACAGAUAAGGCAUAUAGUACAUAAACCUAUUAGUCCACACACACACACACACACACACACACACACACACACACACACACACACACACACACACACACACACACCUGCUCCCAGGCCCCUCAGCCGCUGCCAUAGUAAAAGUGCAUGAUUUCUAGCUGCAGCCCUCUUAUGGGUCCUUCAGUUAAAAAAUAAAUAAAUAAAUAAAACAAGCCUAAUGCUUGUGAGUCAUUUUGAAAUCACCAUUUUAUAAUUUAUUUAUCUUUUUAUUGACAGCGGAAAAUUUGUGUCAUGUCAACUAGCCCCAGGGACCACUGUGAAAGUGCAGAGAGCAGAAAAUGUGGCUUGAGUUAGCCAGGCGGAUUAGCACUGAGUGCCUGACGAGGAAAACUACAAUGCAUCACUUGAAGGUUUACGUUUUUUCUAAAAUGUUUUCAUGUUUUUUUUGCGGUUGUGCUUCAUUAGGAUGACCAACGUAACAUUCUGGGAUAUUACAUUGUGUGGCAUGACAGCUCUAAGACUCAUUCCGUGGUAAAUGUUCCGCAACAUGCUGAUUUUGACUGUGAUUUACAGGUAAUGUGACUAAACCAUGAUGUUAAGGGCUUCUCAGCACACUUCAGCUCAGGUUGCAAAGUGCCCCCUAACCGCAGAUUUAAAAUCA